GCGCUUAUAGCUUAAUUGGAUAAAGUUUUGCCCUCCGAAGGCAAAGGAUAUGGGUUCAAAUCCCAUUAAGCGCA
rnacentral:tRNA from 1 species